GGAAACUGUCAUUCUUUGAUCAAAGACUGGAGAGGUGUAAGCUCUGCUCAGAACACCUGCUCUGGCAAUAGGCCACGGGCAGGGCUGCUUUAUAGCGAUCAGCUGGGAGCAGUUGGGGCCGAGCCCUUCAUGUCUCGGGCUGUCCACACUCCAAGCGCGGUGCGGGCGCCCAGGCCUCCAUCUUGCAUCUCACUGUGAGCCCGGCGCUUGCGCACACAGCUUGCCUGCUAUGCUGAGGGGUGGGUGCAGCCGCUUGCCACGAGGAGGAGCUCUGGUCUGAAGCCCCUGGUGCGAGGUCUCUGCUCAGACCACCCUGUGAGCAAGUGAAACUCAACCAAGCACGAAGGAAAGAAAGGACAAGGGGACGGACACUAAGAAGGGGAUGUAUUGUCUGCGUGUGUUGCCUUCACACCUUUGAAUUCUAAAGGGAUGGCAGGGGCAGCUAACAGAGAGCAGAGAGGAGGCAUCCGGAAUCCCAUGUGGCACAUUUAUGUCAACUGCAUGUCAAUCAGAUGCAAGUGAAGACUAAGCAGUUCCAGCACGGGAACCUCUGAAAAUCAAGACCACAUCAUCCUGAUGUUUUGGCAUUUUGCCCAUUGCCUCAGCAUGUGCUUUUAAAGAGAGCUCUCUAUUGCCGUCUCAUGGUGAAUGAGUGAAUGGCUGGGAUUAGGAGACAAAACUGGCUACCACCACUAAGCAGUCUGGCAUUCAUCCUUCUGAAACAUUUACCCUUCUGUCAGCUGGUCCUCUGGCCUAUUAAAACCAGAUCCCAGGUAAGGUCCCGAUGUCUACCUUGCAAAGGUAUUGGAUGGGGUAUCCUUUUGACUGGGAAAUGAAACGUUGAUGUCCUGUGAAGGAAAAUUUAAUCCCCAGUAUGGUGGACAAGGAAAGCAUUGUUUUUGUUUGUUUCCUUUCUUUUUGUGUUUAAACUAGUAGGGUGUGGAGGACAGGGGAGAAGUGCCCUAUCCACAGUGCCUGAGGACGGCUUAGCAACCCAGGAGUGUGUAGAGAGAAACUGGCUUAGCUCGUAUAGGAAGUUCUGUAGGAAACAUUCAUGGGCUCUGAGAAGUUGCAUUUCUAUCAAUGGGAGAUUUUCGGUUUUUUUAACUUUUUUGAAGUGUGGAGAUUUCUUAAUUUUCUCAAGAGUAAAAGUUUAACGAGUACUGUUUUCUUUUAGUUGAAGUUGAUGUCUCAUCCAGCCUUAAUGUUGCUAGUAGCAGGGCUAUUCUUAAAACCAUUCCUAAAAAAGAAUCAGCUACCUCACCAGAAACUGCCACAGCAUUCCUCGACUCUUCAGAAAUUCCAUUUCAUGCCAUUCUUAUUUGGAACAUACUUUGCAAUUAACAGUGUUCUGGUUCCUGUGAAUUGUGAAAAGAAUGAAUAGUGGGAGUUCCCAUUGUGGCUCAGCAGUAACAAACCCGAUUAGUACCCAUGAGGAUGGACAUUUGAUCCCUGGCCUCGCUCAGUGGGUUAAGGAUCUGGCGUUACCUUGAGCUAUGGUGUAGGUCACAGAUGCGCCUCGGAUCCCGAGUUGCUGUGGGUGUGGCUGUUGCUGUGGUGUAGGCCAGCAGCAAUAGCUCCAACUUGACCCCUAGCUUGGGAACUUACAUGUGCCCAAAGUGUGGCCCUAAAAAGCAAAAAAAAAAAAAAGGAACAUGGAUCUAAAUAUCACACUUAUUUGUUUCAAAAAAUGAUAAAGCCAAGACUUAGAUUGAUAGUUGGAUAGGGAAGAAAAUAGGAUCUUUUGCCCCUCCUUUGAUGUCCCCAUAUUUUAUUUCUGAAAUAAAUAACCCAUAAAUAAUUGGCCUAGGCCUAGUAAAAGGAUAAUAAAAUGAUUUAGUUUUAUAAAUGGUGAUAGGUAGGAAACACUAUAGAACUGGUGACUUUCUUCUAAAGUUUUGGUUAAGCCAUUGGAGACUUUGCUGUCCAGAAGGUAGGGAUGUUGGCUCUGCCCUAAUUAUCUCAAAUAGCAAGUCUGUUUGGCCCCCAGGAAGGCGGCCAGAUAACGAAUGUGGACAUUACUUUUCUCAGCUCAAAUUGAGAAAAAAAAACUUUACAGAGCUUUGAGGAAGGCAGAUACCAGCAGCCUCUUUUAUGGUGGGUGUGAACACAAAUCAAAGACUCCAGCCGAAAACAUCCUCCACCUGGCGACUUCCAGGAUUUAAAAAAAAAAAAAGCAAAAAAAAAAAAA
rnacentral:lncRNA from 1 species